UACGGAGGAUGCAAGCGUUAUCCGGAUUCAUUGGGUUUAAAGGGUGCGUAGGCGGCUUUUUAAGUCAGUGGUGAAAUCUUGCCGCUUAACGGUAAAAUUGCCAUUGAUACUGAGAAGCUUGAGUACAUUUGAGGUAAGCGGAAUGUGUAGUGUAGCGGUGAAAUGCUUAGAUAUUACACAGAACACCAAUUGCGAAGGCAGCUUACUAAACUGUAACUGACGCUGAUGCACGAAAGCGUGGGGAGCGAACAGG
rnacentral:rRNA from 1 species